rnacentral:rRNA from 1 species
UACGGCCGCAUCAUGUUGAAACAUUGGUUCCCGUACGAUCACCGAAGUUAAGCAACGUCAGUACCUAGAUGGGUGACCGCUUGGGAAUACCAGUUGGUGUAAG